rnacentral:rRNA from 1 species
GACGAACGCUGGCGGCGUGCUUAACACAUGCAAGUGGAGCGACGAACCAGGCUUCGGCCUGGGGCAGAGCCGCGAACGGGUGAGUAACACGUGGGUAACCUGCCCUGAUGAUCGGGACAACCCGGGGAAACCCGGGCUAAUACCGAAUGUGCCGCCCUCGCAUCAGUGAGGGUAGGAAAGGAAGCUUCGGCCUCCGCAUCAGGAUGGGCCCGCGGCCCAUUAGCUUGUUGGUGAGGUAACGGCUCACCAAGGCUUCGAUGGGUAGCUGGUCUGAGAGGACGAUCAGCCACACUGGGACUGAGACACGGCCCAGACUCCUACGGGAGGCAGCAGUGGGGAAUCUUGCGCAAUGCGCGAAAGCGUGACGCAGCAACGCCGCGU